rnacentral:lncRNA from 1 species
AAUUGUGUUCAGUUAUCAUAUCAAACGAACUCAUCCAUUUAUUAUAAAAUCCCUCCUUCAUUACUCGUCCGGAGUUUGCCUCUAAAAUAAAACCCUUUUCAAUUGAUGACAAAGGGGAACACUCAUCUUGUACAAAUAAAUUCAUACCAAAAAGAGAUUUAUCUUUGAGUGCCAAAACCAAAACUGAUAAAAGUUUUUCUCCCGGCAUCGGAAUUCGGAAAUAUCUGGAAUAAUACUCAUUUGGGACUACUAUCGUUCAGAGUAUUUUGUACCCUUAAAACAAUCCUCCAGUUGCAGAAAAAUGAUGACAAACAACACUCUCUUUUAGACACCUAUAACUUAUUCAUAAUACAUAGUGAUGAGGAAUAUCAUAGUUUAUAUUAUAGAAAAAUAUUCAAUGUAUAUAUUUUUUUAAAUAUACAUCUCCAAGGAUUUUUGUUCCAUUUUGUAUCUUGUAUGUGAUCCCAUUUUGAAAUAUUAAAAUGCUCUACUCAUCGUGAAAGGAUCGCUUUAUUGUUUCCUUCCAUGUAUCUCAUUCCCAAGGAAAGAGUCAACUCUACUCCCUAUGAGGUCUGGUAGUUUUUCUAAUGUGGAAUCUGAAUUCGAGCAUUUCUUCAGAUGGAUGACCAAGUUACAAGUAUCUUCUUUCGAUUGCCUCGAUCUUCCUUUUAUGAGACAUGACGUCAUGAAAUUGGGAAAAAUAUUAUGAUAAUACUGACCAUUUGCUACUACACUCCGGUAGAAAACACGAUCACUUAAAAAAUACGAAAUGGAACAAAAAUCUUGGAUAUACAUAGUUUUAAAUUAUAGAAUGAAUAUUUUUCUAAAAUAUAAUCUAUUUUAUUCAUCAUCACUAUGUAUUAUGAAUAAGUUAUGAGGGUCUACAGAAGAGUUUCGUUUUUCAGCAUAGUAAGGGAAAUAUAUCGAGUUCAGAACAAGAUACAGAAUCAAUAAAAACUCAUUUUAAUGAUAAAAACACAUUUACAUAAGUUUUAUUAAUCCUACUUUUAAUUAGGGAAAUGUUUUAAGGGUAUAAAAUGUGUUUAACCAAUUAUAGUCACGAAUGACUAUAAUCCCCGAUAUUUCAGAAUUCAGAUGACUGUGAGAAAAACUGAGAUUUUGGAGAUUCUGCUCUCAUGGGUAAGUUCGAUAAGCGUCUUCAAUUCAUUCGUACAAAAUUCCCUCCUAAUUGUUUCCCUCUGUUAUGUAUCGAGUAUUUUGUUUGAAAAGACAUUUUCCAAAGUUUUUCAUUUCAAGUUUUAAACGAAAUUUUUGUACAGAAUUAUGGAGACUUGUAGUCGCAUUUAAGCUAGAAUGCACCAUAAGAAUCGAAUUGGGCUUUAGCCCAAAGAAUUGACUCUGACUGAAGUUAAAAGAUUAAGAAUUUGAGUUUUGAAACUUAGAACAUCCUAUAUUCCUUCAUCUUAUUUCAAUUUAAAUUAAUUUUGAUUAAUUCUAAAUCAAGUCUAGGGCAUUUUGUACUCAACACACGUACUUGAGUCGCUUAUUAGCAUGGUAUACACUUACUAGGGAUUGAGCCAUAGAUAAAUAGAAAUAUACAGACUACAAGUUGGAAAAUAUAUUUAGCUAAAUUUCAGUUGUUAACAAAUGGCAUGUGCUGGUGAAGAACCAGAUGCUAGUACGGACUUCCCUUCUUAAUCUUCUUUUAUAGCUGCUGAAUUAUUCUAGCAGUGCUUUCUAUUUAAAAACGUCUGCUUCACAAUGCCAUGCUGCCUUCAAAAAUAACUUCUCGUCAAUGACGUUUAUCCAUUAUUAUUGAUGGGAACAUAACAUAUUUCCUGUAUGACUACAUCCUUGGGCAAUACAAAUUAUAAUAUAUAUUUUAAGAGCGAGGCAGUUCUUCAGAAUAAUAUGUUAACAUAUCCAUUCAUAGUACAUUCAAAGUAGUAUUAUACGUUAUGUUAUAUAAAAAAAGAAGGGAAUGUUAUGACGACUAAUGUAAAACAAACAAAAAAAAUAUUCUUUCUCUUGUUUAAACUAUGCAUAUAAGUCACGCCGUUACCUGUGUUGUAUCUCACAAACUUUCUUCUAAAAUGAAACAAGAUUAAGGUCAAGUUAAUUGAUAGUUGGACAAUUCUUCUCAAUUAUAGAAAUAUUAUUUAAUAAUUGUUGGGAAUUGUUCAGACAUCAACAUGAACUAAUUUGGAUUCAACCAAUCACACUGAAAAAGUGACAAGAAAGUAAAUUGCAAUGUAUAUGUUAGUUAGAUAAUGCCAUGAAAUCCCAUUAACCUGUGUCUACUCGGACCGGACUCCAAGUGAACAGAAUCAGGACUCAUAAAUAGCUCUGAUACAAUAUAAACAUACAUACCUUGAAUAUUAUAUCACCUUUUGUUAAACUCUUUCCACACUUUUACCGUCUCUCAAAAGAACAACCCUAUGUUUAAUUUGUUACAUCCCUGUCUUUUCAUGUUUUCUUGUUGAACCUUAAAAUAUUUGAAUAAUAUUUCUAUAAAUCUUUGAAGAUGUAUUUACAUUUACGACGUAACAAAAAUAUGGCGUAUUGACAACUCUGCGCAAAUUCAAAUAAUAACUUUAAUUUUUACUCAUAUCAAAUAUAUUGAUGUGGGAGUGACGGGAGACAGUUGCAUCCUUUUUUCCUUAUGUCUUAAUUAAUCAAAAUUUGUUUAGCAUAAACACAAAUAAAUCUAUUUAUUAAUUAUAUAUCUGAUGUUUUUUCACAUAUCUU